rnacentral:tRNA from 1 species
GCCCGGAUGGCGAAAUUGGUAGACGCAGGGGAUUCAAAAUCCCCGCCGCAAGGCGUGUCGGUUCGAGUCCGACUCUGGGCACCA